rnacentral:rRNA from 1 species
GAUGAACGCUAGCGGCAGGCUUAAUACAUGCAAGUCGAACGGUAAGAGAUGUAGCAAUACAUUUCCUAGAGUGACGUACGGGUGCGUAACACGUAUGCAACCUACCUGUAACAGGAGUAUAGCUCGGGGAAACGUACGAAUUAACCCUCCAUAAGAUCGUGAAGUGGCAUCACUUAGCGCUUAAAACUAGAGGUGGUUACAGAUGGGCAUGCGUCUGA